AAAUUGAAGAGUUUGAUCAUGGCUCAGAUUGAACGCUGGCGGCAGGCCUAACACAUGCAAGUCGAACGGUAACAGAAAUCAGCUUGCUGAUUUGCUGACGAGUGGCGGACGGGUGAGUAAUGUCUGGGAAACUGCCUGAUGGAGGGGGAUAACUA
rnacentral:rRNA from 1 species